UUAUCUAUAUUUAUUGUUCCAUGCAUGUGUCUAAAGAUUCGAUGGGAUGGAUGAAAAAAAUUUGGGUGGGGAACUAAACAGGGCCUAAAUAGGUUUACUAUUAAAAUUUCUUAUAUGAUUGAUCUAAUGACACUUAUUACUUGCCAAAUUACUUGGGGUUAAUUAACUCUGGAAAAGUGAGCUUUAUAUUCUUUUUGGACUGAAGGAGUACACUACAGUAAGUCUUCAUGACAUCGUGCUAUCGGAUUUUUAUAGUCUAUCAUGCGUUUGACCCAAAUAAAUUUUGUACUAACAAUUCAGUUUGAACUGGAAAUCCUAAACCCACCGAUAGAGCGGCACGCAGAGCCUAGAUCCUCUAGUAACACUACCUAUCCGGCUAUCGAUAUCCCCAAUUCGAGUAAUGGAGGGCAAAAAAAAAAAAUCCACUAUCAAAUUAUAUACUGGACCGUCCAAAUUUGUUGGCCUUGUAAACCCUCUCUCACACAAACCAUUCCGGUAAAAAUGCAAGUUUGCGUACGUUCUGGCACGUUGUCAGUAAUUAGCCACUACACUACAAAUCCCCCGGGCCCGGCUGCAUACCGCAUAUACGAGGCGCAGUUGGAUAUAAUUUUUUUGUGGGAUAUCUUUUUAUAUCAACCCAUUUUUCUUUCCAUGAGAUGAACUCAUCUCAUGUUUGAUUUGAGGGUUGAAGUCAUUUCAUUUUUUGUUUGGUAUGAGGGAUGGUUGCUACUAUAAACUCUGUUAGUUACUAUGUACGUGGGACCCAGCUGUCAGCGAAUUUUCUCCUUCCACCAAACGUAUGGCCCUUUGGGUCGAACCCUAUGAGUUGGCAGUGACCUUUCUCCUCUUUCUACCAAAUGUAUGGCCAUCUAGGUUGAACCCGUUCCAACCAAGUAAACCCUUGAACCAAACACACGGUAAAGGGUUUGAAUUGGGCCUAGGGCUUUUAAUCUUUUAAAGUACCACAGGAGAAAAAUUAUAAACUACUUUAGCAAGAUGUGCACUUUUACCCUGUGGAUGUAGAUAUUAUGUGCACUUAUAUCCUAUUUGGAUGUAGGUAUUGGGGUCCAAGCAUUUCUUUCUUUCUCUUUUUUCUGAAAGAUAUCCAAUAUGGGCCCAAAGGCCUUCUGGGCCUUGUUCUCGCACCCUGAUCGGGGGCGCCCAACCCUACAUGGUUGGUGGGCCCCCGUCGCACAGCGCUAUAAAGGAAGGUGGGGGGCUGGAGCUCGAGGUACGAGGUUCACCGCGCAGCCUUUUCCCCCACCGACAUCCUAAACCCUAAUCCGAUCCGAGAGGGGCGCUGCCAGCGACGGGAAGCACCACCGACGCCGACAACGCCACCCCGACGUCCGCGCCGCCACCACAAGGAACGUCCCCCGACGUAGAUCCGAUGGCUUCACCAGCGAACGACGCCACUGCGAACGCCAGCGGAUCUACGGCGGCUCCGGCUCCCAGCGACGGUCUAGUCUAUUUACCGUUUCCGUUUUGUUUUUACAGUAGAUCUUAUUUAGGGCAUGUUGAUGUACAUAUUAUUAUUGAUUAAAUGUAAAGAAAUGUUCCCGAUCUAUGAACCGCGAUGCAUUACGAAAC